GAUGAACGCUGGCGGCGUGCCUAAUACAUGCAAGUCGAGCGAACAGACGAGGAGCUUGCUCCUCUGACGUUAGCGGCGGACGGGUGAGUAACACGUGGAUAACCUACCUAUAAGACUGGGAUAACUUCGGGAAACCGGAGCUCAUACCGGAUAAUAUAUUGAACCGCAUGGUUCCAUAGUGAAAGACGGUUUUGCUGUCACUUAUAGAUGGAUCCGCGCCGCAUUAGCUAGUUGGUAAGGUAACGGCUUACCAAGGCAACGAUGCGUAGCCGACCUGAGAGGGUGAUCGGCCACACUGGAACUGAGACACGGUCCAGACUCCUACGGGAGGCAGCAGUAGGGAAUCUUCCGCAAUGGGCGAAAGCCUGACGGAGCAACGCCGCGUGAGUGAUGAAGGUCUUCGGAUCGUAAAACUCUGUUAUUAGGGAAGAACAAAUGUGUAAGUAACUAUGCACGUCUUGACGGUACCUAAUCAGAAAGCCACGGCUAACUACGUG
rnacentral:rRNA from 1 species